rnacentral:lncRNA from 1 species
CGCUUUACGAGUUCAAGAACAGAAAAGUACAUAAUUCAUAUCCCAGCCUGAUGUAUAUCAACCUUUGGUGAUUCUAGCUAGACUAACCUGGCCAUCAUAAUCCACGACGAAUUCGAGAAGAAUGGUGGCCUUCCCACUCAUAAUAUGCUGCAACAGAACCUGUCGUAAAAUCUUCCUAAAAUAGACUUUAACAAUCAAGAUGAACACAGCAUGGUGGUGGAAACUCAUCAUCUUCUGAUGCAAAAACAAUGGUAGCCAGGCUAUACUGAGAAUAAAGUGCGUCUGUAAAAGAAAACCUAGGAACUUGUGAAAAGAAAACGGGUCGGGGAAGCGGGGAAAGUGCAAGCAAAAAGUGGAACUAAUAAAACCUGAAAAAGGAAACAAGAAACCCCACCACAAAGCACUCCACUUGCACCAGCUGAAUUUCUCAUCUAGCAUUAUUGAUACUCGGUGUGAAUUUGUUAAAUUUGGCAAAUAGUAACCUACAAUCUCGAUAUUAGUCAGUCAUAAAUCUAUGAUUUAUUGAUUUGAGGAAGCGAUUUAAUAGUUUCAAGGAUGAAAUCCCCAUUUUCUGAAGUAGAAUUAGCAUUAAUAUGAUCCAUUACCAAUGCAGAAAUGACCAGAGAGGUAAUCAAACAGAGAUAAUUCCGAUCACUUCACAGAAAUUUACAAGCAUGUUCUACACAAAAUAACGACGACAACAACAGUAAUAAUAAAAACAAAGACAUGGUUUGAAACUUGAUGGAUUAGUUUGAGCUUCAAUAAUUAAACACAAAAACUGAAACCAACCUGCCUUAAUUGAAACAAGGUGAUACCCAAUCGAAGGGAACAGCAAGAGGAGCUCCCUUCAGUCCAAGCAUAGACGGAGAGGGACGUGAAACUAUCUCCCGCCUCAUUCACUCAACCACAGUAGCAUAAGCUUCUUUCAUUCUACUGAGCGGUUGAAUGAAUGAGUCGGCAGCUAAUUCAACCCCAAAUCUCAGCCAUGAGUGGGCUGAAGGAAGCUCUUUUAGACCAUUCCUCAAUGCAACACAUUUUUUUCUCUCUCUCUCCCGCCCCCCCAUUUUUAAUAUCAGCCACCGGAGAAAUCAAAUAUACUCAAACUCAUCUCUAAUCCCAUGCUAUCCUGCUCUCACUAAACUUCCUAAUUUCUCAAACAAACAACACUCAAUUUCAAAUCUCAUUAAUUCCCUAGCAUAACACAGAAAAAAAUUACAAGUAAAAUUAAAACACUCUUUUUAGAUCAAUAUACUGAAAGUGUAAGACAAGAAUGAAGAUGAUUGAUACAAAUUAUGAAACAAGAAGUGUACCUUAUGACUUCGUACUGUGUGAAAUGAAUCUGAAUCUGAAUCCAAAUUCUGAAGAUCUUGAUCAACACACAUAACAGUACAUAUUAAUUAGCAGGAGAAAAAAAAAAUGAAAGAGAGAGAGAGAGAGAGAAACGAUUUUGUACAGUGGAUUUCGAAACGCCAACAAUUAUUACAUCUCAAAAUUAUUAUGAUAUUAAUAUCAACAAUAUUAUUGUAGCUGCCACUAAAACUAUAACAACUCUAACGGUAUCACAAAAAAACACUAUAAUAACUCUAACGGCCAAACAGAAACGUAGAAAAAGUAAAGAUAAUUUUGUAUACGAGUGAUGCAGCAGCAAACACUAAACACAAUCUCCACACAGGGUGUAUUUUAUGCUACAAUCAAUGAGGAUCUAGUGAAUUUCAAAGAUAUAAAUACUUGGUUAGUAUUCGAGGAAAUUUUAAGACCGAGAAAUGAUCAGAACAAGAAGCUUUAAAAUUCUUGUGUGCUUAAAUGAAGGCAUAGAAAAGAAACACAAAUUAGAGAGGGAAAAGGGAGAUAAUAAAUUUAUAAGUAUAUUAGUCAAAAUAGUGAAAAAUGUUGAAUAGGAUUACUGUGCACCCAUUAAAAUUGAGGGCUCUUAUUUGUAUAGACGUAAUGAAAUCCAGCAUGAAUCCAGCUUUUGUACCCAUCUAAGCUACUUUUGCACAAACCCUAGCUUUAAUGGUUGAUCUUGAUAAGGAGAUCAGAAAACCCAUCUGCCAUGAUGAAACCCACUAUCAAGAGCAGCAGAAAAAAGAAGGAAAAAAAUAUUUGGGAAAAAGUAAAAGUAAAAAUUGUCUAGAAAAGGCGUCACAUAAAAUAAUAUAUGAACGAAAAUGGAUUAUCCAAGGGCCAAAAAGAAGAACCUCCCACAAAUGAGCUAAUGACGUAGGAACAAAAAGGGAAUUUUCUUCUUUUAAAAUUAUGAACAGGAAAAAGGGAACUAAAAAGGUUAUCUCCAAGUAUUAUCAAACAACAAAGGGGGUUUUCAAACGCCUCUUGAAACCCUAAAUCCCCACAAAUGAGGUAGCUCCCAGGAUUGAAUUAGAAGAGAUUAAGGUAAAACAAUAUCGUUAUAGGAUAAGAGAUGUGAGGAUGGGAUGAAAAGCUUAAAAGAAAAUAGUGAGAGGUAGAGGAAAACAUACAUGGGGUUUGAUAAAAAAGGAAGAAUGGUGAGAAACCAUGGAGCAAGAUGAUGAGUCACUUUCGUCAUGAGAAUCAGAGAUGAGAAAGCGACUCAAAAACACACAAAUAUUUUUCAUUCAAUUAUGUUUGGGGUUGCAUUUAUAUAGAGAGGGGUGAUAGGUGAAAGUUCCCUUUAGUGCAGAAUGUGCAGUGAAAUUGUCUCAAAAAGGGAAAAUGGAGAAGAAACAGUAAAAAUUGAAUCUACCUGGACCGCACUCCUCCUCAGCUUUCUUUCAAGGACAAGGAAGAGAGAGUAAAUAGACAAAAACAUUUAACACGGUGGCGUGGGAAGUUUGACCAUUAAAU